UACAGAGGUCCCGAGCGUUUGUUCGGAUUCAUUGGGCGUAAAGGGUGCGUAGGCGGCCCUGUAAGUCAGUGGUGAAAUGCUCUAGCUUAACUAGAGAGGUGCCAAUGAUACUGCAGGGCUUGAGUACAGAUGAGGUAGGCGGAAUUGACGGUGUAGCGGUGAAAUGCAUAGAUAUCGUCAAGAACACCUAUAGCGAAGGCAGCUUACUGGGCUGUAACUGACGCUGAGGCACGAAAGUGUGGGGAUCAAACAGG
rnacentral:rRNA from 1 species